rnacentral:rRNA from 1 species
UUAAGUUAUUAAGGGCGCACGGUGGAUGCCUUGGCACUAGAAGCCGAUGAAGGACGUUACUAACGACGAUAUGCUUUGGGGAGCUGUAAGUAAGCUUUGAUCCAGAGAUUUCCGAAUGGGGAAACCCAGCAUGAGUUAUGUCAUGUUAUCGAUAUGUGAAUACAUAGCAUAUCAGAAGGCACACCCGGAGAACUGAAACAUCUUAGUACCCGGAGGAAGAGAAAGAAAAUUCGAUUCCCUUAGUAGCGGCGAGCGAAACGGGAAGAGCCCAAACCAACAAGCUUGCUUGUUGGGGUUGUAGGACACUCUAUACGGAGUUACAAAGGACGACAUUAGACGAAUCAUCUGGAAAGAUGAAUCAAAGAAGGUAAUAAUCCUGUAGUCGAAAAUGUUGUCUCUCUUGAGUGGAUCCUGAGUACGACGGAACACGUGAAAUUCCGUCGGAAUCUGGGAGGACCAUCUCCUAAGGCUAAAUACUCUCUAGUGACCGAUAGUGAACCAGUACCGUGAGGGAAAGGUGAAAAGCACCCCGGAAGGGGAGUGAAAUAGAACCUGAAACCGUGUGCUUACAAGUAGUCAGAGCCCGUUAAUGGGUGAUGGCGUGCCUUUUGUAGAAUGAACCGGCGAGUUACGAUUUGAUGCAAGGUUAAGCAGUAAAUGUGGAGCCGUAGCGAAAGCGAGUCUGAAUAGGGCGUUUAGUAUUUGGUCGUAGACCCGAAACCAGGUGAUCUACCCUUGGUCAGGUUGAAGUUCAGGUAACACUGAAUGGAGGACCGAACCGACUUACGUUGAAAAGUGAGCGGAUGAACUGAGGGUAGCGGAGAAAUUCCAAUCGAACCUGGAGAUAGCUGGUUCUCUCCGAAAUAGCUUUAGGGCUAGCCUCAAGUGAUGAUUAUUGGAGGUAGAGCACUGUUUGGACGAGGGGCCCCUCUCGGGUUACCGAAUUCAGACAAACUCCGAAUGCCAAUUAAUUUAACUUGGGAGUCAGAACAUGGGUGAUAAGGUCCGUGUUCGAAAGGGAAACAGCCCAGACCACCAGCUAAGGUCCCAAAAUAUAUGUUAAGUGGAAAAGGAUGUGGCGUUGCCCAGACAACUAGGAUGUUGGCUUAGAAGCAGCCAUCAUUUAAAGAGUGCGUAAUAGCUCACUAGUCGAGUGACACUGCGCCGAAAAUGUACCGGGGCUAAACAUAUUACCGAAGCUGUGGAUUGUCCUUUGGACAAUGGUAGGAGAGCGUUCUAAGGGCGUUGAAGCAUGAUUGUAAGGACAUGUGGAGCGCUUAGAAGUGAGAAUGCCGGUGUGAGUAGCGAAAGACGGGUGAGAAUCCCGUCCACCGAUUGACUAAGGUUUCCAGAGGAAGGCUCGUCCGCUCUGGGUUAGUCGGGUCCUAAGCUGAGGCCGACAGGCGUAGGCGAUGGAUAACAGGUUGAUAUUCCUGUACCACCUAUAAUCGUUUUAAUCGAUGGGGGGACGCAGUAGGAUAGGCGAAGCGUGCGAUUGGAUUGCACGUCUAAGCAGUAAGGCUGAGUAUUAGGCAAAUCCGGUACUCGUUAAGGCUGAGCUGUGAUGGGGAGAAGACAUUGUGUCUUCGAGUCGUUGAUUUCACACUGCCGAGAAAAGCCUCUAGAUAGAAAAUAGGUGCCCGUACCGCAAACCGACACAGGUAGUCAAGAUGAGAAUUCUAAGGUGAGCGAGCGAACUCUCGUUAAGGAACUCGGCAAAAUGACCCCGUAACUUCGGGAGAAGGGGUGCUCUUUAGGGUUAACGCCCAGAAGAGCCGCAGUGAAUAGGCCCAAGCGACUGUUUAUCAAAAACACAGGUCUCUGCUAAACCGUAAGGUGAUGUAUAGGGGCUGACGCCUGCCCGGUGCUGGAAGGUUAAGAGGAGUGGUUAGCUUCUGCGAAGCUACGAAUCGAAGCCCCAGUAAACGGCGGCCGUAACUAUAACGGUCCUAAGGUAGCGAAAUUCCUUGUCGGGUAAGUUCCGACCCGCACGAAAGGCGUAACGAUUUGGGCACUGUCUCAACGAGAGACUCGGUGAAAUCAUAGUACCUGUGAAGAUGCAGGUUACCCGCGACAGGACGGAAAGACCCCGUGGAGCUUUACUGUAGCCUGAUAUUGAAAUUCGGCACAGCUUGUACAGGAUAGGUAGGAGCCUUUGAAACGUGAGCGCUAGCUUACGUGGAGGCGCUGGUGGGAUACUACCCUAGCUGUGUUGGCUUUCUAACCCGCACCACUUAUCGUGGUGGGAGACAGUGUCAGGCGGGCAGUUUGACUGGGGCGGUCGCCUCCUAAAAGGUAACGGAGGCGCUCAAAGGUUCCCUCAGAAUGGUUGGAAAUCAUUCAUAGAGUGUAAAGGCAUAAGGGAGCUUGACUGCGAGACCUACAAGUCGAGCAGGGUCGAAAGACGGACUUAGUGAUCCGGUGGUUCCGCAUGGAAGGGCCAUCGCUCAACGGAUAAAAGCUACCCCGGGGAUAACAGGCUUAUCUCCCCCAAGAGUUCACAUCGACGGGGAGGUUUGGCACCUCGAUGUCGGCUCAUCGCAUCCUGGGGCUGUAGUCGGUCCCAAGGGUUGGGCUGUUCGCCCAUUAAAGCGGUACGCGAGCUGGGUUCAGAACGUCGUGAGACAGUUCGGUCCCUAUCCGUCGUGGGCGUAGGAAAUUUGAGAGGAGCUGUCCUUAGUACGAGAGGACCGGGAUGGACAUACCUCUGGUGUACCAGUUGUCGUGCCAACGGCAUAGCUGGGUAGCUAUGUGUGGACGGGAUAAGUGCUGAAAGCAUCUAAGCAUGAAGCCCCCCUCAAGAUGAGAUUUCCCAACUUCGGUUAUAAGAUCCCUCAAAGAUGAUGAGGUUAAUAGGUUCGAGGUGGAAGCAUGGUGACAUGUGGAGCUGACGAAUACUAAUCGAUCGAAGACUUAAUCAA